CCUACGGGAGGCAGCAGUGGGGAAUUUUGGACAAUGGGCGAAAGCCUGAUCCAGCAAUGCCGCGUGAGUGAAGAAGGCCUUCGGGUUGUAAAGCUCUUUUGUCAGGGAAGAAACGGUGAGGGCUAAUAUCCCUUGCUAAUGACGGUACCUGAAGAAUAAGCACCGGCUAACUACGUGCCAGCAGCCGCGGUAAUACGUAGGGUGCAAGCGUUAAUCGGAAUUACUGGGCGUAAAGCGUGCGCAGGCGGUUUUGUAAGUCUGUCGUGAAAUCCCCGGGCUCAACCUGGGAAUUGCGAUGGAGACUGCAAGGCUAGAAUCUGGCAGAGGGGGGGUUAGAAUUCCACGUGUAGCAGUGAAAUGCGUAGAGAUGUCGGAGGAACACCGAUGGCGAAGGCAGCCCCCUGGGUCAAGAUUGACGCUCAUGCACGAAAGCGUGGGGAGCAAACGAGGAUUAGACUACCCGUGGUAGUCCACGCCCUAAACGAUGUCUACUAGUUGUCGGGUUUUAAUUAACUUGGUAACGNGAGCUACGCGUGAGUAGACGCCGUGGAGGUACGGUCGCGAGAUAACGUACGAAGAAGUAGAGNGNGAGAGNGCCGACGGACGACGACGAGGGAGGAGG
rnacentral:rRNA from 1 species